GGAGUUAGCCGGUGCUUCUUCUGCGAGUAACGUCACAGAUGUAAGGUAUUAACUUACACCCUUUCCUCCUCGCUGAAAGUGCUUUACAACCCGAAGGCCUUCUUCACACACGCGGCAUGGCUGCAUCAGGGUUUCCCCCAUUGUGCAAUAUUCCCCACUGCUGCCUCCCGUAGGAGUCUGGGCCGUGUCUCAGUCCCAGUGUGGCUGAUCAUCCUCUCAGACCAGCUAGGGAUCGUCGCCUAGGUGAGCCUUUACCUCACCUACUAGCUAAUCCCACCUGGGCUUAUCCAUCAGCGCAAGGCCCGAAGGUCCCCUGCUUUCCCCCGUAGGGCGUAUGCGGUAUUAGCAGUCGUUUCCAACUGUUAUCCCCCACAAAUGGGCAAAUUCCCAGGCAUUACUCACCCGUCCGCCGCUCGUCAUCUUCAAAAGCAAGCUUUUGAAAUGUUACCGCUCGACUUGCAUGUGUUAGGCCUGCCGCCAGCGUUCAAUCUGAGCCAGAAAUCGAAAACCUCGACGACUAGACGGGCGGUCGGUCGGAACGAACGGGCCGACUAAG
rnacentral:rRNA from 1 species